UACGGAGGGUGCAAGCGUUGUUCGGAAUUAUUGGGCGUAAAGGGCAGGUAGGUGGUCUUAUAAGUCUACUGUGAAAUCCCCGGGCUUAACCCGGGAAGUGCGGUGGAUACUGUAAGACUAGAGUGCUGGAGGGGUACGUGGAAUUCCCGGUGUAGCGGUGAAAUGCGUAGAUAUCGGAAGGAACACCAGUGGCGAAAGCGGCUUCCUGGUCCAGCAUCGACGUUCAGGCACGAAAGCGUGGGGAGCAAACAGG
rnacentral:rRNA from 1 species